GGCCUGUUAGCUCAGUUGGUUAAAGCAUGGUGCUAAUAACGCCAAGGUCGUGGAUUCGAUCCCCCCACGGGCCA
rnacentral:tRNA from 1 species